CCCUGUGACCGCCACUGGGGUUGGGCAGACGUGUGGAGCUAAAGAAGAGGGGACAGCCUGUGGGAACCCAGAAGCGGGACCCCAAUAAGGCUGCAGGAGAAUCACAAUGGUGAUGGGAAGAGCAAGGGCAUCCUGAGUAGGGAAUGGACCGGCACAGCAAAGGUCACCGUGGGUUACAGAAACGGUAAUGAACGUACGGUGUAGAGUUCGGGCAGGGGGAAGGCUGCAACGACCGCGUAUGCUGAGAGGUUGGGAUCUGGAGAACGAUCCCAUCCGGGACGUGGAAAUGUAGGCUGGACCUCUUUUCAUUAGACAGAGAGUGGACAAUGUGGUGAGAUACAAAGAGAAAAAAAUGCAUCUGCUCUGAAUGGGGAGCACGGAUGUGGCUGAGCAGCAGCAAGCUUGUUAGGAGGAAACAGUCUCCAGAAAAUCGGUGAAGGCAUUCCUUUGAGAAGUGCUAGAGAACAUGUCAGGUAUUUCAUCCCAGCAACAGAAGAAAUGACCAAAGCACAUUCUUUCUAAAAGACGGGAGGAUCUUCGGGAGCUCCUAACGAGUCUUAAU